GCUUCCUCCCAUUCCAGAACCUUCUUGCAGUGAUAUUCUGGAAUCCUCUGUCAUCAUUGAGACACUUACCCUUCCUCUUACUUCAAAGCACUUUUUGUCUGAUGUUGCAUUAUUAGCUUUUUCUCAGUUUUUGUUAUGCUUCAGAGACCUCUGAAAUUCUACGGCUAGAGGAGAGAAUACCUGAGUAUGAAAACACAAGAACAAUAUGACCUAAAAUUUGACUUUCCUUGGGAUACAUACAACCCAUUCUGCAGACUACUGCCAAUUGAAGUUGGAUCUUUUGAAAUAGCCUGUUCAGAAUAAAAUCAAGCCACUUGUUCUCUUCUGACUUUAUCUCCCACCACUACAAAGCUACUGACAUAGAACAGAAAACCAAAACCUAGCUCUGAGCUUAUUGGAAGCCAAAGCUACAAGAAAAGUAGACAAUGUGGAUUUCAGUAUUUUAAGCACAGAUUCCUAUGUGCCUCAUGCCAGAACUUUGAUUUUUAAGAGGAGAGAUAUUAUCCUUUUUUGUAUAAUUUGUUUUGGACUUGCUUUGCAAAAAAAUACUUCUGAAUGAAAUCCUAGUUUUCUUUAUAUAGUUGGGUUUGAAAUAGUUUCAAAAAUGGAGUUUGGGAUGUGUGGGUGGCUCAAAGGUUGAGUACCUCCCUUCAGCCCAGGGUGUGAUCCUGGAGUCCCGGGAUCGAGUCCUACAUUGGGCUCCCUGCAUUGAGCUUGCUUCUCUCUCUGCCUGUGUCUCUGACUCUCUCUCUCUCUCUCUCUCUCUCUCGAAUAAUAAAUAAAAUCUUUAAAAAAAUGGAAUUUAUAUG
rnacentral:lncRNA from 12 species